rnacentral:misc_RNA from 1 species
UCUCCCGUGAGGGAGCAGUCUCGCCUGGCCAUAUAGGCAACAGGCAACGUGGGUUGCGUUCGUUACCCCACUGAAGGGAACAGUUCAAACCACGAACUGACGACGACCGUGCACCACCUGUGCUACACCCUCGAAGGCUUCCUCCCUUUCGGGAGGCGUGCAGUAGCAUUUCUAACCUUGGUAAGGUUCUUCGUUUGCCGACGAAUUGAGCCACAUAAUCCACCACUUGUGCGAGUCCCCGUCUAUUCCUUUGAGUUUUAAGCUUGCGCUCGUACUACCCAGGCGGUUCGCUUACCGGGUUACCUUAGUCCCGCAGAGGGUCGAUACUCCGCGGAACGAGCGAACAACGUUGAGGGCCAGGACUAC